rnacentral:lncRNA from 1 species
CUCAAUAAAUGAUGCCUUACAACCUUGAAGUAAUCGCUUUACCUGACCACAAAAUAAAUAAUAUGAAAUUUAAUUUUACAACCAAAACAACAAAAAAUGAGAGUGAAAGAGGAUAUACUGACAAGCGGAAAGCAGCCGACAGGGCACCAAAAUACAGAGAAAUCGAAGCUUCUUGGUUAAAGAACGUUGGUCGAAUGUAGCCUACUAAUGGUGGAAUAGAAGGGUGUUAUGAAAAGAAGCACUCUGUGGGGAUUUUAUU